rnacentral:rRNA from 1 species
UACGUAGGGCGCAAGCGUUAUCCGGAAUUAUUGGGCGUAAAGAGCUCGUAGGCGGUUUGUCGCGUCUGCCGUGAAAUUUCGAGGCUCAACCUCGAACUUGCGGUGGGUACGGGCAGAUUAGAGUGUGGUAGGGGAGACUGGAAUUCCUGGUGUAGCGGUGAAAUGCGCAGAUAUCAGGAGGAACACCGAUGGCGAAGGCAGGUCUCUGGGCCACUACUGACGCUGAGGAGCGAAAGCAUGGGGAGCGAACAGG